ANUCNUNCGGGAGGCAGCCGUAGGGAAUUUUUGGCAAUGGGGGCAACCCUGACCGAGCAACGCCGCGUGAGUGAAGAAGGUCUUCGGAUCGUAAAGCUCUGUUGUAAGAGAAGAACGUGUGUGAGAGUGGAAAGUUCACACAGUGACGGUAACUUACCAGA
rnacentral:rRNA from 1 species